AGGUUCUUAAAGAGGUAGGCAAGAAGGUAGAGGAGGAUUCGGAGCUGUGAGGGUGGCACAAGAGGGUUUUGCUGGGGGAGGAAGGGGUCAGGAGACACAGGAACGCAGGCAACCUCCAGAAGCUACAAAAGACAGGGAGAUGCUCACCCAAACGCCUCUGGAAGAAGCAUCCAGGCAGACACCCUGAUUUCUGGCCAGCGAGACUGAUUUCAGACUUCUGGCCUCCUGAACUCCGGAUUGGCAGCUCUGUGGAGGCACCCUGGUGGGUUCAAGGAAGUAUCAUCUGCUUGUGAGGCUUGAACAGGACCUUUAAAAGAGAAAAAGGAAUAUGAAGUCAACUAAGAGAAUACACCCAGCAAAUGAGAAGUAGACCUGGCCAGCAGCAGCUUGCAUGCUAUCUGAAACACACUUGCUGGGGAAGGGAGGCCCGCGAUAUCGGGACUGGCUGGGCUGCUAUCGCUUGUGGACACAUCUGCCCGCAGCGCUCACUCCUCCCUCACCGCUGGCACCUGGAGCAGGGAGAUGGCUGCAGCCACGGAAUCUGGAGAGGCACAGCUGUAGUGUGGCACAGCAGAGGGUGACUCCCCACCCCUACAGAUGGCCGGGAUGAUGCCUCUGGGGUGACAAGUGUCCCCACCCUCACCCCAAACACACACAGGGCCCUGCAGCCUAUUUCUUCCCUCCUCCUGUGUCGUAUUCUCCCUGCUCUUUUGUCAACAAUGAGAAGAGAGGCUUGGAGACUGCACACAGUUAUGUGAGUCACUUACAGCCUCGAGCCUUCAGUCAGAGGUCAGGGUUAAACCAGAAAGGGGACAGCUCUGGGGAGGACUGACCACACUUGCUCUGGUCCAGGCAGGGUGUGUGUGGAGCCAGACAACCUCCCUCCCUGCCUACUGUACCUCAGUUUCCCUACCUGAACCAUCUUCCUAAAAACAAUGUGCUGCUCUCAAGGUAGGAAAUUUGGAAAAGCCUAAAUAAUGUAAAAGGAAAAAUUCACCCACAAUUCUCCCACUAACAUCUUGCUGUUUUCGUAUAUCUUUUACAUAACCAAAUCAGGUUGCUUACACAC
rnacentral:lncRNA from 1 species